CCAAUUCCCAAAAGUUUAGCUAAAAUUCUAACUAAUAAACCACAAUUCCAAACCCUAGAACACAAAAUAUCAAACAAUAAAGGUUUUUCAAAUUCCAAAAUUAACCUCAGCAGCAAGGUAAAGCGGAGCUCCAGCACCGACCUCAAAUUCCCAAAAUUAGGUCACUCGACUUCAAAUUCCCAAAAUUAGCUAUAAAUCUGACUAACAAACUAAAAUUCCCAACCCUAGAACCAAAAAAACAAACAAUUAAAGCAGCAAUUGACGAAAUUAACAUCAAAACUAACCAAAAAUCAGUCGAUUCGACCUCAAAUUCCCAAAAUCAGCUAAAAAUCAAACUAACAAACAAAAAUUCCAAACCCUAGAACACAAAAAUCAAACAAUCAAAGCUUCUCAAUUUCCAAAACCAACCUCAGCAGCAAGGUAUUCAAGCACAGCAGCAAGAUACACCGGAGCCCCAGCACCGACCCGCUCAGCAUACUUCCCAGCUUUCAAAAACCUCGCAAUCCGACCCACCGGAAA
rnacentral:lncRNA from 1 species